ensembl:lncRNA
AUAGAGUAUAACUUGUUUUUGUUAAAGUAUUGUAUUUUUCAUUAAUUAAAAUAUUUGUAUUAUUAUUAUUAUUGCAUUUCUACUUUGACGGUAAGCUGGUCCUGUUGUUGUGCGUGUGUUCGUUUCUAUGCCUGUAUAGGCAUCCAGCGGGGCUUGGUCCUACACAGGCUUGGUCCUACACAUGCUUGGUCCUACACAGGCCUGGUCCUACACAGGCUUGGUCCUACACAUGCUUGGUCCUACACAGGCUUGGUCCUACACAUGCUUGAUCCUACACAGGCCUGGUCCUACACAGGCUUGGUCCUACACAGGCUUGGUCCUACACAUGCUUGGUCCUACACAGGCUUGGUCCUACACAGGCUUGGUCCUACACAUGCUUGGUCCUACACAGGCCUGGUCCUACACAUGCUUGGUCCUACACAUGCUUGGUCCUACACAGGCUUGGUCCUACACAGGCUUGGUCCUACACAGGCCUGGUCCUACACAGGCCUGAUCCUACACAUGCUUGG